rnacentral:lncRNA from 1 species
GCACCUUGUAGCAGGCGGCUCAAGGCUAAUGCUGGAGGAAGAGGGUGGAGGGAAGGAGCCAGGCAGCCAAGUUUCAGUGUGACCUCAGAAAGUGUGAACAGGGAUAGAGACUGCAACUCCACAGUGCCCCACCACUUCUGGGAACUGCAGCUUCUAGGAUGGACACAGGGAUCGAACUCAGGUCCUUGUGCUUGCACAGCAGGCGGCGAAACCACUGAGCUAAAUCCCCAGCCCUUAUUAUUUUAAAAUAUCAUACUCUUCCAAAAUAACUUUCCUGCCAGGGCUGCCCCCAAUGCCAAAAGGAGCCUUCUGGGCCACCUUACCGCCACCCCCAGCAAUGAAGAGGUGAGCCAAGAGAGCACCAGAAGCACACACCCGUGGGUGUCUCCCCGCACCGCAUUGAAAUGAGAAGACACAUAAGUCUCAAAACCAGACUUCCAGAUCACCUAAAGCAACCCCAAAGGGAAAUGAGAUGGAACAAUCUGAUACUCAACCUCCUGGACUCCCUGAACUGGCAACAGAAGAGGAUCUCGAAAAAAUGAAAUCAGAAAUAAUUUGUCAAUAGAUUGUGCCCAUAGUGCAAGACAUGAUCAAUAAAUCUGUAGAGGAAACAGAUAAAAAAAUAGAGGAGCUGAGGAACAUGAUGGAAUACCAACAUAGGAAACAAAUGGAAUCCAUAAAACAGAUGCAAACACAUUUCCAGGACAUUAAAAACUCCACAGCAAUUACACAAGAGAAAGAAAGAAAAGGACUAAAGAUAGGAAAAGAAGAAGUCAAACUGUCAUUAUUGCAGAUGACAUGAUGCUCUACAUAGAAGACCCCAAGAACUCCACCAAAAUUCUUCUAGACUUAAUAACCAAAUUCAGUAGAGUAGCUGGAUACAAGGUCAACACAAAAAUCAAUAUCUUUCCUCUACAUGAACAACAGACUCAGUGAGAGAGAAAUAGGGCAAAUAAUUCCUUUCACAACAGCUUCCAAAAAACUGAAAUACCUAGGAAUCAGUCUAACAAAAGAAAUCAAAGACCUCUUCUCUGAAAACUAUAGCACUCUGAAAAGAGAGGUUGAUGAUGAUAUCAGAAAAUGG